UGGGGAAUAUUGGGCAAUGGGGGAAACCCUGACCCAGCGACGCCGCGUGAGGGAAGAAGGUCUUCGGAUUGUAAACCUUAAACAACAGGGACGAAACAAAUGACGGUACCUGUUAGGAAGCCACGGCUAACUACGUGCCAGCAGCCGCGGUAAUACGUAGGUGGCAAGCGUUAUCCGGAUUUACUGGGUGUAAAGGGUGUGUAGGCGGAGAGGCAAGUCAGACGUGAAAAUCACGGGCUCAACCCGUGACCUGCGUUUGAAACUGUUUCCCUUGAGUGUCGGAGAGGUAAAUGGAAUUCCCAGUGUAGCGGUGAAAUGCGUAGAUAUUGGGAGGAACACCAGUUGCGAAGGCGACCACCUGGACUGAUACUGACACUGAGGUGCGAAAGCGUGGGGAGCAAACAGG
rnacentral:rRNA from 1 species